UGAGUCACAAACGUUUUUUGAUCAACUCCCUUUCCAGGGAACCCAUGGCCUGGCACAGGGAGCAAGGGUAAGUUAUGCUGGAGCACUCAGGCAAGCAGGAUGUGACUGAUGCCUACUAGUAGAUAUCAGUCGUAUUGAUCAAUAUUUACACUUAUGGAUUUACAUGUGAAGGAGUGAGCUUUGGGGGUAGAAGUACCCUGCCCUAUGUAUCUUUACUGGCUUUGAAGGCCCUUGUAAAAACCAUAGAUGGCUAGAGUAGAGGUGGUCAAAGGCCAUAAGCAUGUCAUCCUCCAUUUUAAAGGUUGCUAUUUGUGAAGAAUAAUGAGAAAUAAAAAUUGAAGUAUUGGCUACUCCUGGUGUUAACUAGCAGGCUUUGGUUUUCUAGAUCCUGGCUUUUGAUACCAGUACUUCCUGCAGAGAUUACUAAGAACUUUACACUAAAUCUGGGAAGACCUGUUUGACAGGAAACACCUACCUAAAUGAAAGAUUCCACUCCAAAUUGGAAAGAAUGGGGAAAAAUUGGUCUAAUAAAACCAUGAAACCAGGUAUCAUGAAGGAUAACCACAUAACAAAAGGAAUAUGAAAUCAGAGAAAACUUCAGGUGGAAGUAUCCAGUAAAUGGGUUAAGCAAUGUCCAUAGGCUUUGAGAUCUAUUCAGUAUGGUGCUGAACCAGGAAAUAUACAAAAUGUAUUUAACCUUUUUGCACAGUGAGGUAAACAUAAUCCCAAGGAGAUGGGGUUCAAUGGGAACCAACGGCUGGCCCAGGCUUGUCACACCUGUGGGAAGGGUGUCAGGAAGGCUCAGAACAAGCCAAAGCUUGUGAGAAAGAAAAAAAAUGCUAAAGACAAGCAAAAGGGUUUUUAAAAAACUAGUUGGAGCAAGAAAAACAUGGAAGGUAUAGGCCUGUUGUUUGGGAAAUUUACUGCAAUGCUUGCAGAUGAUAAAGACCAAGGGAGAAUGACACUUCUGUCUCCUCCAACAAGAAAAUGCUUUUCAAGCUCCAUGGAGCCGCACAAUACACAGAGGGAAGGAAAGAUAAGGGAAGUGACCCAGGCUCUAAAUACUAUGUGUCAGGAAAGUGCUUACCGGAAAAUUGUUAAUUAACUUGGUGCAAAAAAAAUGAAGAAUGGUGAGGAGAUAAAAAAGACCUCUACACAAGGGGAUUUGAAUACUUAUUUUAGACAGUCCCUUUAUGUGGACUACCCUCUCCCAGCACUCCCAGGAGUUAUCUGCUAAGCUUAAUGGGUUGGCCUUCUCCACCCACCUGCAAACCCUCCUAAAGGUUCCAGAGAAAGGCCAUAACAGAGUUAAAGCUGCAGAUUACAGAUCAAGGUCAAAAGCCCUGCCAACUGCCAAUUCUCAAAGAGCUAGUAAACAGACUGGAAACAGGACCAAUGUGAUCAUAUUCACUUUGCCAUUGACCUUGUGUAGGCUCUCCAAGGGAUGGCACAUGCAGUGAUGACAUAAGCAGGGUACCAAAGAAAAAAGGAAGAAGAGCUAGAGAGCUAGUUUAUAGUUCACAAAAGUAAGUAUAUUCUUCUCACAAAUUUCCUUUAAGUAAAAAAAUGUACUUUAAUUCAUCAAACACAGCAUCACAGACCCUGGGACCUGGAAGAGCUUUGGGAGCCACUAUUUGGGUCUGUUCAUUUUACAAGGAAACAUCCAGAGCAGCUCAUGACUCUCUGCUGUCACGUAGCCAGUCAAUGGCAGAGCCCUCCCACUCUGGACCCCAGCCAUGGGUUGUGUACAGGGAUCGCAACCCCUGAUUGUCCUCUACAAUGACACCCACAGGAAGCAAAUACAUGUUCCUGUUACAGAUGAAAGCUCAAUUAGCCAUUUUUCUCUGUGCCUUCACUGGUCUGUUCUCUCUCAGGUGAUCUCCUCAGGGUUCUAGGCAUCUUGAGCCCCAGUGAGGCCCUUUCCAGGGCAUCAACAGGAAGUCUGGGGGUACUACUGGGAGUGAGGUUCACUGCCAUGAGGCACUCAACCCACUCUCCACACCAGGGAAGUUGUCUGGUGCCCAUGGGCUCUGUGUGUCAUGGCUCCAGCCCAGCAUACUGUUUUUCAUUCAGCCAACUGAUUAAAAACUCUGUCCUUUUCAAAAUGUUCCAGGAAGCCAAAAUAACUCAUAGUUCCCACACAAUGUUAGAGCAGAUUUAUGCCCCUUUAAGAACACAUGUGGUGUAAAAAGAUGAAGGAAGGAGAGGCUAAAGUUUUACAUAUGGCACCAAGGUAAUCCUAGCUGAGUUGGCUUCUCUCUGGAGAGUGCCUGCAGGGUAUAAUUAGAACAGAGAUAGCCACCCCAACAGAUCUAUACUUGAACAAAUCAUGGCUAAGACAAAAGUGGAACCAAGGCUAAAUUUAUCAAUAACAGGGUUUAAAAAAAGGAAAAAAAGACAAAUGAAGUUGAAAUUUCUCCUUGUUUAUUUUAAUGUGCAAAACACUUUCUAGCUGAUUUAUGCCAUAGCUUCUGUGUGUUUUUCAUUUUUUAUUUAUUUUGCAGUUAAUUGGAUUUCCAGGCUUUGUGACCAGUCACUGAAAUUGAUCCCUGAAAAGAUGGAUUUAUUGCUUAGACAGGCAGAAUUCUGACAAUCUUCAGAGAAUAGAAAAUAAAAGAAAACAGUCCAUACACAGAGCACUGCGGGUCACCAUUGGGUCAGACCAGCAAGAUAUGUUACAGCUGGCAGGUUUAUGCCAGAACUUCAGCACAAGUAAUCUUGUUAAAUGGGCAGGACCAGGAUCCAACGACAUAUUUUAUAGGAUUUUGUAAGUGAUCCAUGCUUAGAAGGAAAUGUAGCCUGGGUUGGAGACCCCAAGGUAGCUGUCAGAUCCCAGGCAGAUUGGAUUCAUGGUAGGAGAACUGACUAAAUUUGAAACAGUGCAUAUCUUUGGUGGCUUAAUCUGGGAUGGGACCUUAUUUUUCCUGGUGGGUAGUUUUGUUAGAAUGCCAUAAUGGCUUAGGGUGCUAAAACAAUAUGGAACUCGUGGCUUCAGGCACUUUUGCAGUGUCCUGGAAAUCUGAGAAGCAAUGGAACACUGCCCUUAGCUCUGCAGAAGUCUGAUAUCCAUUCAACUAUUUGUCCAUCCAUCCAUCCAUCUAUCUGUCUGUCCAUCCAUCCAUGUAAUAAUUUUUCAUUGAGCUCCUAUUAUUUGCUACGAAUUUUUCCUGGUGCUAAGCAUAGAGGAAUGAAUAAUAAAAAAAUAUAGUUCCUACCUUGUGGAGCUUAUACACUAUUAGACAAGCAAUUAAAAGUUUGCUGAGUUAGAAAAGAGAAAUUUGGGGAGCUGAAGGAACAUAUUACAGGUGGAUCAACCUUGUUCUAGAGAUUGGGGGAGGCUUCUAGGAAGAAGGGCUGUGAGCUGAGACCUAAGAGACUAGAUACACUACUGGACGAUUAUUAGACCAUAUAUAAAAUAAAACUCUGACCCACAAUCUGUGGAAAACCAGCCUAGAAUACCAACCCAUUAUAUAUAGUUACCAGCCUUGGUAGCAGCUUGCUUUCUAUAAGUUAGACCAUUAUCUCUAGCAACCAGUCCAGGAAGCCAAACAAUAACCCCUUUAACAAUCUGCCAGCACUUGAUUAAUAACUGACAACUUCCCUAAUUUAUGUCCCUCCUUGCAAUUUAGGACCAACCAGAGAAAGCCAAAUAGGUACCCUUAACCAUUCAUUCAGGAUGUCCUCAGUUCUAGUUACCCUACGUUCAUGCCAACAGACUCUGAUCAGAGCACAUUUGGAGUCUUUCCUUUUUCCAUCGUAAAGCCUUGACACUCUUCUUUCUGCCUUUGAGUCUUGCCAAAACUCAAGUGAUGGUGACUGGCUUCCUUGCUACAACAAACUGUGACUAAACAGCCUUUGAUUGUUAUCAUUUGGUUGGUCUUUGUUUAUCAUGUAGCCCAUACACAGAGCACUGUGGGUCACCAUUGGGUCAGACCAGCAAGAUAUGUUACAGCUGUCAGGUUUAUGCCAGAACUUCAGCACAAAUAUUCUUCUUAAAUAGGCAGCACCAGAACCCAACAGAAUUUUUGUAGGAUGUUGUCAGUGAUGCAUACUUAGGAGGAAAUGUAGCCUAGGUUGGGAUCACAGGAUAAAUAUCAGAUCCCAGACAGAUUGGACUUGUGGAGAAUGAGCAUGUAUGUGGGCCAGACAGUGGUAGGGAAAAGAGUAUUUCAGAAGAUGGAAGAGCACAUACAAAGACCCUAAGACAAGAAAGGCUAAAGUACACUCUUCGUAAAAAAGAGUUGAACAUGACCGAAAUGUAGAGGGUGAGGGAGAGACCGGUGUGACAGGUAGUUGGAGUUAGAAUGGGCGUGGGGUGUUGGGAUCAUGCAGGUCCUUGUGAGCUGUGUUGCUAUUGUCCUUUAUCCUAAUCAGAGCCUCAUUCGUGGACGAUACUUGGAGUUUUCCUCUUAACUAGUAUAUCUCCACCAUGACGUACCUCCAUCUCCUAUCCACUCUCUUUAUGUGAGCUCCCACUGCAUAUCUGAGGGCCUAACUUCUCUGAGAUCUCCCUGUUUUCUGUUGACAUUCUUUUGGUGAGUCAGGUGCACAGGUAUAGACAUCUCUCUGUGUGAGUCCAGUUCUUUGCCAGGACCAGCUCCAAUUCCCCUGACCUUCUGGUGGUGAAGUAAGCCCUGGCUUGUCCAAGCUCUUCUCUAGGACUGUGUCCAGCAGAACCUAGGGAGAAAGGUCAAUGUGGCAGAGACUGCAAAUUAUCCCCAUAUCUGUUUUCACCUUCUUCUAUUGUCCUAGAACAUAGGGUCAACUAGAUCGGAAAUAUUUCUCCUUUGUAGCUUUUGUUCAAGGUCAGGAUAAUGCGAUCUGAGAGGAAGUGAUAUAUACAACUCUGGGACAUGCACUUAAAGAAACAGGGCACCCCCUCCCCUUUCUGCUGGCUGCAAUGUGAAGGUAGUGCUGGGGAGCCAUUUUGGACCAGAUGUGCCAGGGAUAUCAGAGCCACCAGAGUAACUGAUGGGGACUGCUUAUCUCUGGAAAGUUAGGUGAGAGGGAAAUAUAUUUUUAUCUUAUUGAAGUCACUAUUAUAUCAGUCUCUGAAACCACACACAACCCAUAGCUUAAUUCAGCAGUUCUCAAAGUGUGGUCUUUGUACCCUGACUGGUG